rnacentral:rRNA from 1 species
AUGAAGAUGGCGACUUGCACUCGUAAGGUGGCCUCGGAGGAGUUUGGAGUGUCCAGGGGAAGGAGAAGCGAAGAUAAGGAUACCUGGUGGUGGAAUGAUGAUGUCCAGAAGGCGCUUAAAGAGAAGAAAGAUUGCUUCAGACGCCUAUACCUGGAUAGGAGUGCAGACAACAUAGAGAAGUACAAGAUGGUGAAGAAGGCCGCAAAGCGAGCUGUUGGUGAAGCAAGGGGUCGGGCAUAUGAGGACCUCUACCAACGGUUAGGCACGAAGGAAGGUGAAAGGGACAUCUAUAAGAUGGCUAAGAUCCGGGAGAGGAAGACGAGGGAUAUUGGCCAAGUCAAAUGCAUCAAGGACGGAGCAGGCCAACUCUUGGUGAAGGACGAAGAGAUUAAGCAUAGAUGGCGGGAGUACUUCGACAAGCUGGUCAAUGGGGAGAAUUAG